rnacentral:misc_RNA from 1 species
GUGUUGGAAGGUCUUGAGCCUCACUCAAACAUAGAAUAAAGGUAGAGAAUUAUUCGGGCAAAAAGUUCCCGCUGUGGCUAUAUAGGAUGAAAAUUCUGAGUGAAGAUGAUUCUUUCACUGUAUUUGAUAAUUUGGUGGAACUUGUAUUGGAGAAGUGUGAGUGGUGUGAAGAACUCCCAAGGCUUGACAUCUUCCUCGUCUUAAAACG